rnacentral:tRNA from 2 species
ACGACCUGUGGCCGAAGGGCAGCAGCAGCUUUAGCGGCUAUCAGCUGCUGCUGGAGUACUUCACGUUCCGCGAGAAGUUCAUG